UCAUGUACUUUGAAACUUUGUUGUUAGGUGCCUACACAUUUAGGAUUGUUAUUUUUUUUGGAGAAUUGAUCUCUCUAUGUAAUG